rnacentral:lncRNA from 1 species
CUCCCCCUUCAGGCUCCUUCUCCCCCUCUGCCCCUUCCUCCCCGCCCUGGAGGAUUUCUUUCUUUUCCUCAGCCCCUUGACCAGGCUGCUCUCCUUCCAUCAUUUCUUGGGCUUUUAUAGGGCUCGUCUUCCUGUUGGCUUCUUCUCCUUCAUUGGCUACGUCGGCUGUGUUAUCCGUGGCGUUCUCAAACUUGGUUUCUGAGAAUUGUGUCUCACUCUUUUCGGUAGGGUUACUUUUCUCAGCAGAUAAUGAUUUCUUCUUUUCGUAACCUUCUGACCCUUCUUCUUUUGGAAGUUCCUCAGUCAGUUCUUGGUCUUUGCUCUUUGCGACCCCUUCAAUCACCAGCCAUAAGGCUUUGCCGUGGUCCAGGAGCUCAUCACCUUCAGGAGUCUUCACACCUAAAGUCUGCUCAUCUUCUGUGGCCAGAAGCUGAUCAAAUUCUGCUCCUGAGGUCAGCUCGCCUUCUGUUCCUGAGGUCACCUGGCCUUCUAGCGUGGAGGCCAGCUCCUCUUCUGCCCCUGGAGUCACCUGGCCUUCUGGCCCAGAGGUCAGCUCGUCUUCUGCCACUGAGGCCUGCGGGCCUUCUGCCUCUGAGGUCAGCUCACCUUCUGCCGCUGAGGCCUGCUGGCCUUCUGCCUCUGAGGUCAGCUCACCUUCUGCCGCUGAGGCCUGCUGGCCUUCUGCCUCUGAGGCCAGCUCCUCUUCUGCUCCUGGGGUCACCUGGUCUUCUGGCCCAGAGGUCAGCUCGCCUUCUGCCCCUGAGGCCUGCUGGCCUUCUGCCUCUGAGGUCAGCUCACCUUCUGCUCCUGAGGCCUGCUGGCCUUCUGCCUCUGAGGUCAGCUCACCUUCUGCUCCUGAGGCCUGCUGGCCUGCCUCUGAGGUCAGCUCACCUUCUGCUCCUGAGGCCUGCUGGCCUUCUGCCUCUGAGGUCAACUCCCCUUCUGCCCCUGAAGUUUGCUGGCCUUCUGCCUCUGAGGUCAACUGGCCUUCUGGCCCUGAGAUCUGCUGGCCUUCUUGCCCUGAGGUCGGCUGGCCUUCUACUUCUGAGGUCAGAUCCUCUUCUGCCUCUGAGGUCGGCUGAUCUUCUGAGGUUUGCGGGGCUUCUGGCCCAGAGGUCUCCUCCCCUUCUACUCCUGAGAUCUCCUCACCUUGGGCCUCUAAGAUCUCCUCACCUUGGGCCUCUAAAAUCUGCUUGCCUUCUGUCUCUGAGGUCUCUGCUUCUACCCCUGAAGUGUGCUUGCUUUCUGACUCCGAGGUCUCCUCCUGUACCACUGGGGUCUGCUGGCCUGACUUUGAAGACCGCCUGCUUUCUGCCCUUGAGGGCCGCUUGCUUUCUGCCCCUGAGGGCCGCUUGCUUUCUGUUCCUGAGGGCCUCCUGCUUUCCCCAAGCGAGGUCCGCUUGCUUUCUGCUGCUGAGGGCUUCCUGCUUUCCCCAAGUGAGGGCCGCCUGCUUUCCAAGAGUGAGGGCCGCCUGCUUUCCGUACCGGAGGACUGCCUGCUUUCUGCAACCGAAGGCUGCCUGCUUGCUGGCGCAGAGGGCAGCUUGCUUUCUACACCGGAGGUAUCCUCACUUUCAGGGGGGCCUUCUGCGCCUGAGGUCGGCUGGCUUGCCCGGAGAGACGGUUUUCCUUCUGUAGCCGGGGUCUGCUCUCCUUCUACGCUCGAGGUCUUGUCCGGUUUGGUGGCGGGGGUCUUCUCGCUUUCUGACCUCGUAACCUUCCGUGUUUGCCCCUCUUCUGCCUGGCCAGCUUCAGCCGCCGGGGGAUGCUCUUUUGGCCCUGCGGCCCCAGCCGCCGGAGGAUGAGGCCCUUCUUCUGGCCGGGCAGCCCCAGCCACGGAGGGUUGCUUCUCUCCGGCCCCAGAAGCUCUAGGCAUCGGGGGAUGCUUCUCCUUGGCCCUGGCGGCCUCCGGUGUCUUGAUCUCUCGUGGCUGGCCGCCGCCCUCCUCUCCGCUGAGCUCCCGUCCCGCGGGGCCUUCGGUGGACUCCUUGGAAGCGGGUGAGGGCGGCGGGGGCGGCGGGGCCGCCGGCUGGGCCGGGACCUUUAUCUGGGGCUUCAGGCUGUGGCCCCGCACCUGCAGCGGCUCCCAGCUGAACCACAGCCUCUGGUGCAGGAUCUCCACGCAUUUCCGGGGCUUGGUGCCCCUGCCCGGGGAUCGGGACUGGGUCUGGGUCGGCGACGGCGAGCGGGAGGGCAGCUUCUUGACCUGCAGGGUGUCCCGGAUGCCGUCGACCUCAGGGAUGACGCUGGCCCAGGGCGGCGCCUUGGGCCGCGUCCGGCCCUGCUGCCGGCCAUGGCGCCCUUCCCCUGGCCCGGGGGCCCGGGGUAGCCGGCGCUC